AGGGAAUCUUCCACAAUGGACGAAAGUCUGAUGGAGCAACGCCGCGUGAGUGAAGAAGUAUUUCGGUAUGUAAAGCUCUAUCAGCAGGGAAGAAAAUGACGGUACCUGACUAAGAAGCCCCGGCUAACUAC
rnacentral:rRNA from 1 species